rnacentral:rRNA from 1 species
CCUACGGGUGGCAGCAGUGAGGAAUAUUGGUCAAUGGGCGCGAGCCUGAACCAGCCAAGUAGCGUGAAGGAUGACUGCCCUACGGGUUGUAAACUUCUUUUGUCAGGGAGCAAUUGGGUCCACGCGUGGGCUUUGCGAGAGUAUCUAAAGAAAAAGCAUGGGCUAAUUCCGUGCCAGCAGCGGUAAUACGGAGUGUGCCAGCGUUAUCCGGAUUUAUUGGGUUUAAAGGAUGCGUAGGAGGGAUAUCAAGUCAGCGGUAAAAAUUCGGGGCUAAACCCCGUCGUGCCGUUGAAACUGAUGUUCUUGAGUGGGCGAGAAGUAUGCGGAAUGCGUGGUGUAGCGGUGAAAUGCAUAGAUAUCACGAAGAACUCCGAUUGCGAAGGCAGCAUACCGGCGCCCAACUGACGCUGAAGCACGAAAGUGUGGGUAUCGAACAGGAUUAGAUACCCGUGUAGUC